GUCAUAAAUAAACUUUAUUGACUUCUGUCUGAUUGUUUACAAUCACUGAUCAGGUGACACUGCUCCACUGACAGUUGGUACACAGUUCUGUCCUUCUGAGCUUUGAGUGGUUUUUUGUUUGUUUUUUUACAAAUAUUUACAGUCUUUGUAUAAAAAGGCAGUUUUUAACAGCAGAAAAUUCUUCUUUUUCAUAGUAUGUGAUUACACUUGCUAGUAGAUCCAAAACAUCAAGAUAAUAUACAGACUACGGCAACUUCCUUUGGCCUUGGGAAAAGAUUCACCCCCACCCCCAAACAUCUAUCUUCUAAGGCAAUUGGUUUCUAAAUCCUUCAAAGUCCACAAAUACACUUUAGUGUCUUAAAUGUUCAUAGAGAAGUCCCUUUUAAUUAUACCUUUCAUGGAUGCCCGCUUUCUCCUUGAAAGAAUUCAGGAAAUGUUACUGGCCAUAUUAUAACCUAUUUAUCAUAACUGUGCCUUCAAUAAAUAGUUCAUAAAAUACUAAGGCUGGUGACAUUUGUCUUGUAACCUAUCUAGUGGGGUGGGUUUCUUAUUGCAGUUAUGUACAGUGAUAACCUUCCAAGACCUAAAUAUAUUAUAUAUAUUGUCUUCUGUACCCUUUCAAAUGGGGCUUGAGAGAAAACGCCACCACCUCAUGCUGUAAUGAUUUAAUAAUAAAUCAAGCAGACCUCUUACCCAUGUGGAUAACGAAGCUCUCCCUAGGGAAACUAUGAAAUUGCUCUGUUCGUCAUCCAGGUUCCCCUAGACUGGGCCAAUAUAAAAGAAUCCCAAAGAUGAUGUUAUUCAAGCCAUUACCAUGAAAGAACUAAAGUCAGCCCUUUGAAUUUAUAACUUAAGGUUCCAAAACUACAAUACCUUCAAAGAAAACAAUUUUCUUGUUACUAUCAAAAGUUUCUGGCAGACUUUAGUGUUUUAACCUAUGCCUAUGGAAUAUAUUCACAUGCUAAAUGCUCUGUAAGUAAUUUUUUACAUAGAGUAUAUAAU
rnacentral:lncRNA from 1 species